rnacentral:rRNA from 1 species
GACGAACGCUGGCGGCGUGCUUAACACAUGCAAGUUGAGCGCUGAAGGUUGGUACUUGUAUCAACUGGAUGAGCAGCGAACGGGUGAGUAACGCGUGGGGAAUCUGCCUUGGAGCGGGGGACAACAUUUGGAAAUGAAUGCUAAUACCGCAUAAAAACUUUAAACACAAGUUUUAAGUUUGAAAGAUGCAAUUGCAUCACUCAAAGAUGAUCCCGCGUUGUAUUAGCUAGUUGGUGAGGUAAAGGCUCACCAAGGCGAUGAUACAUAGCCGACCUGAGAGGGUGAACGGCCACAAUGGGACUGGGACACGGCCCAAACUCCUACGGGAGGCAGCAGUAGGGAAUCUUCGGACAUGGACGAAAGUCUGACCGAGCAACGCCGCGUGAGUGAAGAAGGUUUUCGGAUCGUAAAACUCUGUUGGUAGGGAAGAAAAUUGGUGAGAGUGGAAAGCUCAGCAAGUGACGGUAACUACCCAGAAAGCGACGGCUAACUACGUG